rnacentral:rRNA from 1 species
GAUGAACGCUGGCGGCGCGCCUAACACAUGCAAGUCGAACGGUUAAAGCACCUUUUAGGUGUGUAUAAAGUGGCGAACGGCUGAGUAACACGUGGGCAACCUGCCCUCCUCUUGGGGAUAGCCUCGGGAAACCGAGGAUAAUACCCGAUACUUCAAUGUGGCCGCAUGACGACAUUGAGAAAGCUUUUGCGGAGAAGGAUGGGCCCGCGGCCUGUUAGCUUGUUGGUGGGGUAGAGGCCUACCAAGGCAAUGAUGGGUAGCUGGGUUGAGAGACCGACCAGCCAGAGUGGGACUGGGACACGGCCCAGACUCCUACGGGAGGCAGCAGUGGGGAAUCUUGCACAAUGGGCGAAAGCCUGAUGCAGCGACGCCGCGUGCGGGACGAAGGCCUUCGGGUUGUAAACCGCUUUCAGCAGGGACGAGGCGAUAAGUGACGGUACCUGCAGAAGAAGCCCCGGCUAACUACGUG